GACGAACGCUGGCGGCGUGCUUAACACAUGCAAGUCGAACGGAAAGGCCCUGCUUUUGUGGGGUGCUCGAGUGGCGAACGGGUGAGUAACACGUGAGUAACCUGCCCUUGACUUUGGGAUAACUUCAGGAAACUGGGGCUAAUACCGGAUAGGAGCUCCUGCUGCAUGGUGGGGGUUGGAAAGUUUCGGCGGUUGGGGAUGGACUCGCGGCUUAUCAGCUUGUUGGUGGGGUAGUGGCUUACCAAGGCUUUGACGGGUAGCCGGCCUGAGAGGGUGACCGGGGACAUUGGGACUGAGGUACGGCCCAGAGGCCUACGGGAGGCAGAAGUGGGGAAUAUUGCACAAUGGGCGGAAGCCUGAUGCAGCAACGCCGCGUGCGGGAUGACGGCCUUCGGGUUGUAAACCGCUUUCGCCUGUGACGAAGCGUGAGUGACGGUAAUGGGUAAAGAAGCACCGGCUAACUACGUG
rnacentral:rRNA from 1 species